UAAGGAAUAUUGCUCAAUGGGAGAAAUCCUGAAGCAGCAACGCCGCGUGGAGGAUGAAGGGUCUAUGACUUGUAAACUCCUGUAAAGAAGGAAAAAAUUCCCAUUAGAUGGGAGAUGAUGGUACUUCUGGAGUAAGCCCCGGCUAACUACGUGCCAGCAGCCGCGGUAAUACGUAGGGGGCAAGCGUUGUCCGGAUUUACUGGGUGUAAAGGGCGCGCAGGCGGGAUAAAAAGUCAGUGGUGAAAUCCUACAGCUUAACUGUAGAACUGCCUUUGAUACUUUUAUUCUUGAGUUCGGGAGAGAGAGACGGAAUUCCAGGUGUAGUGGUGAAAUACGUAGAUAUCUGGAAGAACACCAGUUGCGAAGGCGGUCUCUUGGUCCGACACUGACGCUGAGGCGCGAAAGCGUGGGGAGCAAACA
rnacentral:rRNA from 1 species